AUUGAACGCUGGCGGCAGGCCUAACACAUGCAAGUCGAGCGAGCGGCGGACGGGUGAGUAAUGUAUGGGGAUCUGCCUGAUGGAGGGGGAUAACUACUGGAAACGGUAGCUAAUACCGCAUACCAUCAGAUGAACCCAUUUGGGAUUAGCUUGUAGGUGAGUGAACGGCUCACCUAGUCGACGAUCCCUAGCUGGUCCGAGAGGAUGAUCAGCCACACUGGAACUGAGCAAGGGCCCAGACUCCGACGGGAGGCAGAAGUGGGGAAUAUUGGAAAAUGGGGGCAAGCCUGAGGCAGCCAGUCCGGGUGGAGGAAGAAGGCUUUCGGUUUGUAAAGUACUUUCAGUCGGGAGGCGUUACCGACAGAAGAAGCACCGGCUAACUCCGUGCCAGCAGCCGCGGUAAUAC
rnacentral:rRNA from 1 species